GCAGUGAGCUUUGGUUGUGCCACUGCCCUCCACACUCCAGAGUGACAGAGCAAGACUUUAUCUAAAAAACAAAAACAACCACCACCACCACAACAACAGAAUGUUAUGAUAGAACCUUCAUUUUAUGCCAAUAUUUUUACAGGAUAUACAUUCUAGAUUAACAUAACAUUAUUUUCAGCCAUUAAAAUACCUUGUGCCACUUCUGUCUGGUCUGCAUGAUUUCUAAUGAGCAAUCCACUGUCAUUUAAUUUAUUUUCUCCUGGGCAUGAAGUGUCAUUUCUAUCUUGUUGCUUUCAAGAUUUUUGGCAUAAAUUUCUUCGGGUUUAUCUUCAUUUGGGUUUGCCCAGAUUCUUGAAUUUUUACGUUUAAGUCUUUGUCCAAAUUUG
rnacentral:lncRNA from 1 species